UUGGGCGUAAGGGUGUGUAGGUGGUCGCGUUAGUCUCUUGUUAAAUUCUUCGGCUUAACCGGGGGCAUGCAGGGGAAACGGCGCGACUAGAGGAUGCAAGAGGUCUGCGGAACUCAUAGUGUAGCGGUGAAAUGCGUUGAUAUUAUGGGGAACACCAAAAGCGAAGGCAGCAGACUGGGGCACUCCUGACACUGAGACACGAAAGCGUGGGUAGCGAAUGGGAUUAGAUACCCCAGUAGUCCACGCCCUAAACGAUGUCGAUUAGCUAUUUCGAGUAUCGACCCUCGGAGUGGCGUAGCUAACGCGUUAAAUCGACCGCCUGGGUAGUACGGCCGCAAGGCUAAAACUCAAAGGAAUAGACGGGGACUCGCACAAGCAGAGGAUCAUGUGGUUUAAUUCGAUGGUAAACGAAGAACCUUACCAGGGUUAGAAAUCUAGCUGAAGGCAUGUGGAAACAUGUGCCGCCGCAAGGCAGUUAGACAGGUGCUGCAUGGUCGUCGUCAGUUCGUGGUUUGAAUUGUUCCCUUCAGUGGGGUAACGAACGCAACCCUCAUUGCCUGUUACAAGUGUCAGGCGAGACUGCCCAGCUUUCUGGUCAUGAUCAUCGAUCGUGGAUAGGAAGCUGGGAGG
rnacentral:rRNA from 1 species